AUGCGGGCUGCGCUGGGAGAGGGGCGGGGACAGAGGCGGUUCUGGGGGCGGGAGUGCGGCGGUGCGGGGGCGCCCAGGGAUGAUGGGACCCGGAGAGAACGGUGGGACCCGGAGAGAACGGUGGGACCCAGAGGGAGAGCUGGGGGGCCCUCGCAUGGUGGGAUCUAGUGGAGAUGGUAGGGUCCUGGAGGAGACGGUGGGGACCUGGAGAGGACGGUGGCACUUGGAGGGGAUGGAGACGGGAUCUGGAGGGGACGGUGGGACCUGGAGGGGAUGGGGACAGUGGGGACCUUGGAGGGGACGGUGGGAUCUGGAGGGGAUGGGGACAGUGGGGACCUGGAGAGGACGGUGGGAUCUGGAGGGAAUGGGUACAGUGGGGACUUGGAGAGGACGGUGGGGACCUGGAGAGGACGGUGGCACUUGGAGGAGAUGGGGACAUUGAGGACCUGGAGGGGACAGUGGGGAUUUGGAGGGGACGGUAGCACUUGGAAGGGAUGGGGACAGUGGGUUCCUGGAGGGAUCAGUGGCACGUGGAGGGGACAGUGGGGUCUAGAGAGGAUGGUGGGGACCUGGAGGAAAAUGGUGGGAGGGCUGGAGGGGGCAGGGUAACCUAGAUGGGCGAAUGGGGCCCACAGGGGACCUGGAGGGCAUGGCAAGGGGCCCCAGGGGAUGACGGGUGUCUGGAGAAGAUGGUGGGGAAUGAGGGAGGGUGUGAAAUGAAGGUGUGGUAGGAGUGUGGGUAGGGAUUUGGGGCUGUGUACACAUGAGCAGGGCUGAAGUGGGAGGACAUCGGAGUAGUGACAUGAGGAGUGUUUUGCCAAACUUGCAACUGGAGUUACCCCAAAAGUGGCGGCAAGGGAGUUCCCCACACUAUCCUCAGGUGGGACCAGUUGGGAUACCAAAGAAAGAAGUGCUAAAUGCAUGGGUCUUCCUCUGUCACUCAGGCUGGAAUGCAAUAGCGCUAUCUUGGCUCACUGCAACCUCUGCCUUCUGGGCUGAAGUGAUCCUCCACCUCAGCCUCCCAGAGUGCUGAGAUUACAGAGGCAGAAGAGGCCUGGACCUUGGCGCACACAGACCCAGGAACAGAUGAGCAGGGAUGUCUGCAUCCACACCUGGCCGUGCACCUACUACCUGGAGCCCAAGAGGCGAUGGGUUACUGGACAGCUGUCCUUAACAUCGCUGUCGCUCAGGUUCAUGACUGACAGCACUGGAGAGAUUCUGGUCAGCUUCCCCCUCUCCAGCAUAGUUGAGAUCAAGAAGGAGGCUUCACAUUUUAUCUUCAGCUCCAUCACCAUCCUGGAGAAGGGCCAUGCCAAGCACUGGUUCAGCUCCCUGCGGCCAAGUCGAAAUGUGGUCUUCAGCAUCAUCGAGCAUUUCUGGAGGGAGCUGCUGCUGUCUCAGCCUGGAGCCGUGGCAGACGCAUCUGUCCCAAGGACCCGGGGCGAGGAGCUGACGGGACUCAUGGCUGGAUCCCAGAAACGCCUGGAGGACACGGCGAGGGUCCUGCACCACCAGGGCCAGCAGCUGGACAGCGUCAUGAGAGGCCUGGACAAGAUGGAGUCAGACCUGGAGGUGGCGGACAGAUUGCUGACAGAACUGGAAUCUCCUGCUUGGUGGCCCUUUAGCUCCAAGCUUUGGAAGACACCACAGGAAACAAAGCCCAGGGAAGAUGUCUCCAUGACCAGUUGUGAACCCUUUGGGAAAGAAGGGAUACUCAUAAAAAUUCCUGCUGUUAUUUCCCACAGAACAGAGUCUCACGUUAAACCAGGGAGGCUCACCGUCCUUGUGUCUGGGUUGGAAAUACAUGACUCCAGUUCUUUGCUCAUGCACAGGUUUGAAAGAGAAGACGUGGAUGACAUCAAGGUCCACUCACCUUACGAAAUUAGCAUCCGCCAGCGGUUUAUUGGAAAGCCAGACAUGGCCUAUCGUUUGAUAUCUGCCAAGAUGCCAGAGGUUAUCCCCAUUUUAGAAGUGCAGUUCAGCAAGAAGAUGGAGCUGUUAGAAGAUGCAUUUGUGCUCAGAAGCGCAAGAACCUCUUCCCCCGCAGAGAAGAGCUGCUCAGUCUGGCAUGCAGCAUCUGGGCUGAUGGGCCGUACCCUGCACCGUGAGCCACCCGCAGGAGACCAGGAGGGCACAGCACUGCACCUGCAGACAAGCCUGCCAGCCCUUUCUGAGGCGGAUACCCAGGAACUAACCCAGGAUAAGAGACAUUCAGAAAGAACCGUACUGCCACUGUCGCCUUAGGAAACAGGAAGUCGUUCCUCAGCACCAUCCAGUAUCCAGGCAGUGCUCCAACCUUCUGAGCCCUUGCUGAAGGGCGUGUCCCACAGGAUCCUGAGGAGGAUGAAGGGGCUGGCCCUGGAGGCCGAGAGUGAGCUGGAGAGACAAGACGAAGCCCUGGAUGGCGUUGCAGCAGCUGUGGACAGGGCAACCUUGACCAUCGACAAGCACAACAGGCGGAUGAAGAGGCUGACCUAGGGGCAGAGCGUCCCUGCAUUCCUGUCUCGCCCUGCACAUCCCGCUGAGAUGGAGGGCUGGGCGGCAGUGCCAGGGCUGCAGAGGCCUGUGGCCCUCCGGAGUGGUCUUCCUCUGGAUGGGGCUGCUACUGUGGGGCUGCUUCUGCACCAGGGGCCUCCCCAGGUGUGCACCAUGCCUGCCCCCCACUUGGCUGUCCCUGCUGCUGGGCAGGACCCGGCCACAUGUUCUGCAGAUGCCGCAGAAGUGUGGACCAUGGCGGGACCCCAAGGACACUUGGCACAGGCCUGGAAGAGGCCGCCCUCGUCUUGUCUCGGCUCCCUUUCAUGGACAGACUGGCCUUCUUAGCUGUACUAUAAAUUUGUGAGUGAAGUUAGAGCCCAGCUCACUUAGCCAGCUCACUUUGAGGGCAUCCUAUAAACACCCAACUGUUCUUUUAUCGUCUCGGUUUUAGCCAAAAGUGAAAUUAGCAUGACUGCAUCUUUCAAACAAAAAUAUUGAUUUCUGCUUUUAUGGCCCCGUUUCCAUCCAGAAAUAAAGGGAAAUGCUGGCUUCA